rnacentral:misc_RNA from 1 species
GAUUCUUUUUUUUUUCUCCUGAAGAAACAUGUGUUUAUUCUCAGAACUGGAUGACAUUACAAUGUUGCUUCCUCACUUUGCAUUUCUUCCUCUGUUGAAAAAUAAACUCUCAUUCUUAUUUUUUCUCUCCUGAAGAAACAUGACUUUAUUCUUAGAAUUGGAUGAUAUAAUCAUUUUGCUUCCUUACAGAUUGCAUUUCUUCCUUUGUUGAAAAAUAAUGUAUGAGUUCUUAUUAUUUUGCUGAGGGUAGACUAUAGUUGAUACACUUAAAACUUUUUUGGGAUUAAGGUCCAAACUUGUUUUUUUGGAGAGCACGCG